GUCCUAAUAGUAUAAACACAUUACUUUGGUCUUGUAAACCAAAAAUGAAGAAACAUCUUCUUAGGAUA
rnacentral:tRNA from 1 species